GAUGAACGCUAGCGGCAGGCCUAACACAUGCAAGUCGAGGGGUAGGGCAGCAAUGCCUGAGACCGGCGCACGGGUGCGUAACGCGUAUGCAAUCUACCUUCAACAGGGGGAUAGCCCAGAGAAAUUUGGAUUAAUACCCCAUAGUAUUAUCGAAUGGCAUCAUUUGAUUAUUAAAGUUCCAACGGUUGAAGAUGAGCAUGCGUCCUGUUAGCUUGAUGGUAAGGUAACGGCUUACCAUGGCUACGAUAGGUAGGGGUCCUGAGAGGGAGAUCCCCCACACGGGUACUGAGACACGGACCAGGCUCCUACGGGAGGCAGCAGUGAGGAAUAUUGGACAAUGGGCGCAAGCCUGAUCCAGCCAUGCCGCGUGCAGGAAGACGGUCCUAUGGAUUGUAAACUGCUUUUGUACGGGAAGAAACACUCCUACGUGUAGGAGCUUGACGGUACCGUAAGAAUAAGGAUCGGCUAACUCCGUGCCAGCCGCCGCCGUAACAC
rnacentral:rRNA from 1 species